AUACGGAGGACGCGAGCGUUAUCCGGAUUCAUUGGGUUUAAAGGGAGCGUAGGCGGGAGCUUAAGUCAGCGGUUAAAUGGUGCGGCUCAACCGUGCCCUGCCGUUGAAACUGGGUUUCUUGAGAGUGCAAGAGGCGGAUGGAAUUCAUGGUGUAGCGGGGAAAUGCUUAGAUAUCAUGAAGAACUCCGAUUGCGAAGGCAGUCCGCUGGGGCACGUCUGACGCUGAUGCUCGAAGGUGCGGGAAUCAAACAGGAUUAGAUACCCUGGUAGUCCGCACGGUAAACGAUGAUUACCCGCUGUCGGCGGCAGACAGUCGGCGGCCAAGCGAAAGCGAUAAGUAAUCCACCUGGGGAGUACGCCGGCAACGGUGAAACUCAAAUGAAUUGACGGGG
rnacentral:rRNA from 1 species